rnacentral:misc_RNA from 1 species
GAGAACCAAGAGAUCCGUUGUUGAAAGUUUUGACUAUUAGUAAUAAUCUGGUGUGACAAGUUGAUAAAAAAUUGGUUGUAAGUUUAGACCUCUGGCGGCAGGCUGGGCCCACCGCCAAAGCAAGUUUKUUUCAAAGAAAAACACAUGUGGUGCAAUUAAGCAAAUCAGUAAUGAUCCUU